CUUUGUUUCAUUUUUUGAGGUAAAAUUUUUCAAAUCCAGAUAAAAGCAUUGGGUUAACAUUUUCAAAAUGUUAUGUAAGGUAUUGGAGCACUUUAUUUUAACAUUAAAAACAAAAAUCAUGAACAAAAUACAAUUAACAUUUUACAAUUAUGAUUGAAAAUGAAACCAUGAUAUUUAACAGCACACAACAUAUAUGGCAGUCACAAUCUUAUACCAUAUCACAAGACAAAUUGAUUCUUCUUUUCAUAUUAAGGAAAGAUGCAGUCAUCUUUCAAACUCAAGACAUUAAUCAUGAUUUAUCUAGUAUCAAUGGAACAAUAUGAAUAUCGUGUUUACUAGUUAUAAUGUAAUAACUUAUUCAAUUUCUUAAAAACAAAUAUGACGUAUAAAUGGAAUGGUUAAAUCAUAAAAUUACUUUAAUAACUACGACACAAUGUUCAGAACCAGAUAAUAACAAUGUUACAUAUUUUGUUAAGAUUUGAUAUUUUUCUUUGCAACUCCAAAAGAUAAACAAAUGAUGAUAACUUCUAAAAGCAAACCUUUUCAUUGAAAACAUUAAUGAUCCUGAGCUUAAUUUCAAAUUAUGUCCACUCAAAACUGAAGUCAUCUCAAGUUUCUUUAAGGAACAUUGUAUUGUACAAUACAAAACUAGAGGCUCUCAAGAGCCCUGUGUCGCUCACCUUGGUCUAUGUGCAUAUUAAACAAUGGACACAGAUAAAUUCAUGAUAAUUGUGCUUUGGUGAUGGUGAUGUGUUUGUAGAUCUUACUUUACUGAACAUUCUUGUUGCUACAAUUAUCUUUAUCUAUAAUGAACUUGGCCCAGUA
rnacentral:lncRNA from 1 species